rnacentral:rRNA from 1 species
AGAGUUUGAUUCUGGCUCAGGACGAACGCUGGCGGCGUGCUUAACACAUGCAAGUCGAACGAUGAAGCCUAGCUUGCUAGGUGGAUUAGUGGCGAACGGGUGAGUAAUACGUGAGUAACCUACCUUUAACUCUGGGAUAAGCCUGGGAAACUGGGUCUAAUACCGGAUACGACCAAUCUCCGCAUGGGGUGUUGGUGGAAAGCGUUAUGUAGUGGUUAUAGAUGGGCUCACGGCCUAUCAGCUUGUUGGUGAGGUAACGGCUCACCAAGGCGACGACGGGUAGCCGGCCUGAGAGGGUGACCGGCCACACUGGGACUGAGACACGGCCCAGACUCCUACGGGAGGCAGCAGUGGGGAAUAUUGCACAAUGGGCGCAAGCCUGAUGCAGCGACGCCGCGUGAGGGAUGACGGCCUUCGGGUUGUAAACCUCUGUUAGCAGGGAAGAAGAGAGAUUGACGGUACCUGCAGAGAAAGCGCCGGCUAACUACGUGCCAGCAGCCGCGGUAAUACGUAGGGCGCGAGCGUUGUCCGGAAUUAUUGGGCGUAAAGAGCUUGUAGGCGGUUUGUCGCGUCUGCUGUGAAAGGCCGGGGCUUAACCCCGUGUAUUGCAGUGGGUACGGGCAGACUAGAGUGCAGUAGGGGAGACUGGAAUUCCUGGUGUAGCGGUGGAAUGCGCAGAUAUCAGGAGGAACACCGAUGGCGAAGGCAGGUCUCUGGGCUGUAACUGACGCUGAGAAGCGAAAGCAUGGGGAGCGAACAGGAUUAGAUACCCUGGUAGUCCAUGCCGUAAACGUUGGGCACUAGGUGUGGGGGACAUUCCACGUUUUCCGCGCCGUAGCUAACGCAUUAAGUGCCCCGCCUGGGGAGUACGGCCGCA